GUAUAAGAGACAGCAGCCGCCGCGGUAAUACAGAGGGUGCGAGCGUUAAUCGGAUUUACUGGGCGUAAAGCGUGCGUAGGCGGCUUUUUAAGUCGGAUGUGAAAUCCCUGAGCUUAACUUAGGAAUUGCAUUCGAUACUGGGAAGCUAGAGUAUGGGAGAGGAUGGUAGAAUUCCAGGUGUAGCGGUGAAAUGCGUAGAGAUCUGGAGGAAUACCGAUGGCGAAGGCAGCCAUCUGGCCUAAUACUGACGCUGAGGUACGAAAGCAUGGGGAGCAAACAGGAUUAGAGACCCGAGUAGUCCCUGUCUCUUAUAC
rnacentral:rRNA from 1 species